rnacentral:rRNA from 1 species
AGCGAACGCUGGCGGCGUGCCUAACACAUGCAAGUCGAACGGGAAUAGAUUCGUCUUAGUACCGUGGCGAACGGGUGAGUAACGCGUGGGUAAUCUGGCCUUUGGUGGGGGAUAACCAUUCGAAAGGAUGGCUAAAACCGCAUAAGACCCAAUAAUCGGGAGAUUUAUGGGUGAAAGGGUGCUUAGGCACCUGCCGAAGGAUGAGCCCGCGUCCCAUUAGCUAGUUGGUGGGGUAAUGGCCUACCAAGGCUGAGAUGGGUAGCUGGUCUGAGAGGAUGAUCAGCCACACUGGGACUGAGACACGGCCCAGACUCCUACGGGAGGCAGCAGUGGGGAAUAUUGCGCAAUGGGGGAAACCCUGACGCAGCAACGCCGCGUGGGUGAAGAAGGCCUCGGUGUAAGCCUGUCAGUGGACGAAUGGGCGUGAGGGUAAAGUAGCUCUUGGUCAUGACGGUACCAUCAGAGGAAGCACCGGCUAACUCCGUGCCAGCAGCCGCGGU